ACACCCGUAGCUCAACUGGAUAGAGCGGCGGAUUCCGGUUCCGCAGGUUGAAGGUUCAAGUCCUUUCGGGUGUA
rfam:Candidate division TA06 bacterium 34_109 MPJ_scaffold_1, whole genome shotgun sequence.